rnacentral:rRNA from 1 species
ACGGCUCAGUAACACGUGGACAACCUACCCUAAGGAGGGGGAUAACCCCGGGAAACUGGGGAUAAUACCUCAUAGACUAGAGAAGCUGGAAUGCUCUCAAGUCCAAAGGUCCGCCGCCUUAGGAUGGGUCUGCGGUCGAUUAGGUUGUUGUUGGGGUAACGGCCCAACAAGCCCGUGAUCGAUACGGGUUGUGAGAGCAAGAGCCCGGAGAUGGAUUCUGAGACACGAAUCCAGGCCCUACGGGGCGCAGCAGGCGCGAAAACUUUACAAUGCUGGCAACAGCGAUAAGGGAACCUCGAGUGCCAGGUUACAAAUCUGGCUGUCGAGAUGCCUAAAAAGCAUUUCAUAGCAAGGGCCGGGCAAGACCGGUGCCAGCAGCCGCGGUAAUAC